rnacentral:rRNA from 1 species
UGAGGAAUCUUGGACAAUGGGCGAAAGCCUGAUCCAGCCAUGCCGCGUGAAUGAUGAAGGCCUUAGGGUUGUAAAAUUCUUUCAGUAGGGAAGAUAAUGACGGUACCUACAAAAGAAGCCCCGGCUAACUCCGUGCCAGCAGCCGCGGUAAUACGGAGGGGGCUAGCGUUGUUCGGAAUUACUGGGCGUAAAGCGCUCGUAGGCGGAUUGGUCAGUCAGAGGUGAAAGCCCAGGGCUCAACCUUGGAAUUGCCUUUGAUACUGCCAGUCUUGAGUUCGGGAGAGGUGAGCGGAAUUCCGAGUGUAGAGGUGAAAUUCGUAGAUAUUCGGAGGAACACCAGAGGCGAAGGCGGCUCACUGGACCGAUACUGACGCUGAGGAGCGAAAGCGUGGGGAGCAAACAGG